GUCCAUGCCCAUGCUUGUCCUGAAGUCUAUAUAACCGUCCUGUCAUGACUCACGAAAUGAUGCUCAAACCUGCUGCAUAACUGAUAUAUUGUAUGAAGUGGUCUGCAUUUAUAUUUUUAAAGCAUGCUCAGGAGAAAAGUAAUACACUAUGUGUGUAUGCCAGAUGAAACAAAGCUGGGACUGUGGUUUAUUAGUUUACUUAGGUAACUAAGUAGCGCUGGGCCUAAUGCGUCAGAGCCAGCUGGGACAUUUAGAGGAUGACUUCCUCUAUUUGCUUUGGUUCAGUUUACACUUUUGUGUACUGAGAUGGGGGCUGAUGUGUGUCUGUGUUUGUGCCUGUGAGUUAUGUGUGGCAUUUGAGCAUUAUGUGAGUACAACGAGGAGUUAUGUUACUUCGCUGCAGACGUGAGCAUAGACUGGUCAUGUGUUUGGUUUGAGUGAUUUUGCAUAGCAUACGGAGAAAUGCCAGUUUAAAUCUAAAUCACUGAGCAAAUACAUUCAAAUAUUUUUAUUUGAAUACUUUUUUUUCUUUUUUCUUACCUGUUUCCAUUUGAAUAUGCAGGGGCAUCAUGUGUCAUUGUGCUUGAUUUUACUCAGUUAUACAAGCAUACAUGUAGUAAUACUGCAACAUGUAGUUUGCUAUUUUUAUCACGUUUCCUAGUUACACGGAUUAAAGGUAUCUGGACAUGCUGGACAGUCUAUGUACCUUAAUGUAAAAUGCAAUUUUUGCAACUUUUAUUCUUAUGAAUUGAUUUCAUUAUAACGGAUUCAUGUGCACGAGCUGCUCUUUGGAGCAUGUUAAUGUUGCCAAAUUUAAUUCAUUUUGAGGUAAAUGUAACUGAGAUAUGUAACUGUAACUAAUAACACUUCCUUUAAAAUUGUAGGUUUGCUAUUGAAUGAAAUCAGUUUACUCCAUUGUAAAAUGAGAGCAGUGCAAAUAAAGCAACUGAUGCUACUGAACAUUUAUUUAUUUAAAAUUUGUACAAAAUGGCAGAAAUGACCUAAGAGAUGAAAAAAAAAACAAUUUUAAAUAAAUGAAUGACACAUUUUUUUAUUUUGAAGUACAAAAACGAUAACACUGCCUCCCAGUUUUGAACUUUUAUGUGUUUCCCCAGGUGUCCAAGGUGAUAUUUUCCUAAGUCUAGAUGAUUUUAUUUUUAUCACAUUAACAUAUCAUUUUUAAACCCUGUGAAAUUUAAUUAAGUAAUAUAUUACAAAUUGCAGGCUCCAGUAAACCAGCUAUUCUAAUGUUGUUAUGAAUGUAAAGCAUAAUUUCUCCCAUGCAUUUUAUGAACACCAUGUAUGAUUUUUAUCUGUGAAUAAUAAUAAUGUACUUAAUGCACCUGUCAUCAACAUUGUCAGCAAUGAAUGGCUGUAAACACUGGUGGUAGCAGCACAAUGUAGAUUUGUUUAAUUUUGUUAAAAUCUGAUUUCAUUUGAAAAUAACAUUUUUCAUGUUUUCAGGUGAACUUUGCCCAAUAUUGCACUGUAACGUAGAGAUAAUGUAAUUUCUUUGAAAACUUUCUUGAAAAUGUUUGUCAAAUAACAAACAAAUACAACACCUGCUGAUUUUGAGGUUUAAUGUAAGAAAGUGAUUGCAUCAGUGCUUGAUUUUGUAUUAAACAAGAGGGAUACGGUGAGGUGACGGUGGUUCGAGAUAAGUGCAAAGGCUGUAUGAACGGUUAAAGGAAAGGGGCACAUGUUUCAAUGAAAUGUCCUCUAAUGAGAUACAGCUGUGUAUUACCCACAGCCUUUUCUAUGCAUGAUGUCAACUGUGUUGCGAGGCUGGCCCAGGAACAGGAAGAGGUCAGUACGACAGCUGAGAGAUACCUUGAAAAGAGAAGUGAGUGCUGUGUUUGCACUUACAACUUGGAAAGUAUAAGAAC
ensembl:lncRNA